rnacentral:rRNA from 1 species
CCUACGGGUGGCAGCAGUGAGGAAUAUUGGUCAAUGGGCGCGAGUCUGAACCAGCCAAGUCGCGUGCAGGAUGACUGCCCUAUGAGUUGUAAACUUCUUUUGUACGAGAAUAAAUUGAGGUACGUGUACCUUUUUGAAAGUACUGUAUGAAUAAGGAUCGGCUAACUCCGUGCCAGCAGCCGCGGUAAUACGGAGGAUCCGAGCGUUAUCCGGAUUUAUUGGGUUUAAAGGGUGCGUAGGUGGUUUGGUAAGUCAGUGGUGAAAUUCUGCGGCUCAACCGUAGAACUGCAAUUGAUACUGGCAGUCUUGAGUACAGUUGAGGUAGGUGGAAUUCGUGGUGUAGCGGUGAAAUCCUUAGAUAUCACGAAGAACACCGAUUGCGAAGGCAGCUUACUAAACUGCCACUGACAUUGAUGCUCGAAAGCGUGGGUAGCAAACAGGAUUAGAUACCCGGGUAGUC